CGCGUUGCUACCUGCCGGCCUCGCAUUCUUUGAAAACAUUUAAUGGCCUCUUGGAGCCCCGAAGGUAUCCUCCUCCUAAUUGCCGUGUUAGAGCCCAGGGUCGGAAAGAAGCUUCAGAACUGAGAUACCAGAACCUGCAUGCUACGCUCGAGGUUUCAAAUAUAAGGUCCUGAGUUCAAUUCCCAGCAACCACAUGGUGGCUCACGACAUCUAUAAUGAGAUCUGAUGCCUUCUGUAAUGCAGACAUAUGUGCGGUCAGAACACUUGUACACAGCCACAGGAAGACAACUGACAAUCACACUGAGGAAAUCUUGAUGAAAAUAAACCUCAAAGCCAACCCCCGGUGACUCGCUUCCUCCCAUAAGACCACACCCACUCCAACAAGGCCACACCUCCUAAAGUGCCGCUCCCUUUGGGGGCCAGUUUCACUAGACUUUACUAAUUGGCUAAUUGAAAAAGAAUUAGUGAACAGGGAAUGAAGGAGGAAGGGGAAAAGAUGCACUACUCAGGUUAUGGAAUGCAAUGGCGGCCUUUGUGUAAACAAAGGUUUUACUAAGCUAUAGUGUGUGAGUGUGUGUGUGUAAAGACAGUUGCAUAAAAGUCUUACAAAGUGGGAAAGAAUAAAAAUAUUUGAAUUCCUUGUCUUA